rnacentral:rRNA from 1 species
AUUGAACGCUGGCGGCAUGCCUUACACAUGCAAGUCGAACGGCAGCACGGGUGCUUGCACCUGGUGGCGAGUGGCGAACGGGUGAGUAAUACAUCGGAACAUGUCCUGUAGUGGGGGAUAGCCUGGCGAAAGCCGGAUUAAUACCGCAUACGAUCUACGGAUGAAAGCGGGGGACCUUCGGGCCUCGCGCUAUAGGGUUGGCCGAUGGCUGAUUAGCUAGUUGGUGGGGUAAAGGCCUACCAAGGCGACGAUCAGUAGCUGGUCUGAGAGGACGACCAGCCACACUGGGACUGAGACACGGCCCAGACUCCUACGGGAGGCAGCAGUGGGGAAUUUUGGACAAUGGGCGAAAGCCUGAUCCAGCAAUGCCGCGUGCGUGAAGAAGGCCUUCGGGUUGUAAAGCACUUUUGUCCGGAAAGAAAUCCUUGGCCCUAAUACGGUCGGGGGAUGACGGUACCGGAAGAAUAAGCACCGGCUAACUACGUG